rnacentral:tRNA from 1 species
UAGAGUACUCGGCUUCUAA